CCUGGCGGCUGUAGCGCGGUGGUCCCACCUGACCCCAUGCCGAACUCAGAAGUGAAACGCCGUAGCGCCGAUGGUAGUGUGGGGCCUCCCCAUGCGAGAGUAGGGAACUGCCAGUC
rnacentral:rRNA from 1 species